CGGAGCCGGGGGCGCGAGCGGCGGGAGCAACGGGCCCGCAGCAGCAGCGGCGGCGGCGCUGCCGAUGGACAUGGGCACCCAGGGCGCGGGCCGCAAGCGGCUCCCCAACCGGGAGCGGCUGACUGCAGAGGACGAGGCACUGAACCAGAUCGCGCGCGAGGCGGAGGCCCGGCUGGCAGCGAAGCGUGCGGCCCGCGCGGAGGCCCGAGAGAUCAGGAUGAAGGAGCUGGAGCGGCAGCAGAAGGAGAUCUAUCAGGUCCAGAAGAAAUAUUAUGGGCUGUACACGAAAUGGGGUGACAUCGAGCAGUGGAUGGAAGACAGUGAGCGCUGCUCGCGCAGAUCCAGAAGGAACACCUCGGCUUCUGAUGAAGAUGAGCGCGUGUCAGUGGGUAGUCGCGGAAGCCUGCGGUCGCAGCCUGACCUGGAGUCUGGGGGUCCCUACGGCUGGACAAAUGGUUACGAUGGAGAGUUGUACGGAUCACAGCCCCUGAGCAGAAGAUCGGGCAGGAACUCCACCUACAGCGGUGACGGCAGAUCCUCUACUGUGUCCUCGUCCAGAGAGGAGAAGUUGGGGCCGUCCUGCUCUGACCUCGGCCUUCCCCGCGGUGGCCUUGCGCCCCAAGUCCUGUUCGCCCAGAGUGGAAGCCGGCCCUCCUGUCUGUACAGCGCUGCCCGGCCAGCGGGGAGUUCCCGGGCGUCUGUGUUCGGGGACGGCAGUCUCGGUGGGCCUCGGCGGGGAAGCGCCUCUGGUUCCUAUGCUCCCUCGGAGCACAGCGGCCACCUCAACUCCAGCUCCCGCGCCUCCUCCAGAGCCAGCUCGGCGCGGGCCAGCCCAGUGGUUGAAGAGAGACCAGAAAAAGAUUUCACUGAGAAGGGGUCUCGUAACCUGCCCGGCCUGUCUGCAGCCACACUGGCCUCGCUGGGUGGCACCUCCUCCCGGAGGGGGAGCGGGGACACCUCCAUCUCCAUCGACACCGAGGCAUCCAUUAGGGAGAUCAAGGAGCUCAGUGAGUUAAAGGACCAGAUUCAGGAUGUGGAAGGCAAAUAUAUGCAGGGACUGAAACAGAUGAAGGACUCGCUAGCAGAAGUGGAAGAGAAGUAUAAGAAGGCGAUGGUUUCCAACGCCCAGCUGGACAAUGAGAAGAUGAACUACAUGUACCAGGUCGAUACCCUGAAGGACACGCUGCUGGAGCUGGAGGAACAGCUGGCGGAGUCUAGGCGGCAGUAUGAGGAGAAAAGCAAAGAAUUCGAGCGGGAGAAGCACACCCACAGCCUGCUGCAGUUUCAGUUCGCCCAAGUGAAAGCCGCCCUGCAGCAGAGAGAGGAGAUGCUCGAGGAAAUCCGACAGCUGCAGCAGAAACAGGCGAGUUAUAUCAGGGAGAUUUCUGAUCUUCAGGAGACGAUAGAGUGGAAAGACAAAAAGAUAGGGGCCUUAGAGAGGCAGAAAGAGUUCUUUGAUUCCAUCAGGAGUGAACGAGAUGAUCUUAGAGAAGAAGUAGUCGUGCUGAAAGAGGAACUAAAGAAACAUGGAAUAAUCCUAAAUUCAGAAACAGCUACCAAUGGAGAGACUUCAGACACCCUAAAUAGUGUUGGAUACCCAGGUCCUACCAAGAUGACAAAAGAAGAGUUGAAUGCCCUCAAGGCGACAGGGGACGGGACCCUAGACGGGCUGAAGUUGCGUCAUCUGGGGAGGACCGCGGAGAUCUUCCCCCGCAGCCUCGCCUGGGAGCUGUGGCUCUGAGGAGAAAGAUCUCCAUUCCAUGGGCCAGGACUUAGCGCGCUUUGAAGAGUGUGGUGAGAACGGCAGAUGUGAAUGGCUUCUGCUGUUCAAUGGAACAGAAGCCAGUGGGGCUGAUGUGGACAGUUCCCAUCUGUGCGGACCUCCUGGGCCCUGUAAACAGGAGAAAAAAGAAUCGUCCUUAGCAACCUGUUUGCCUUUGACAGUAAGGAGGAGGUAUUGUCCUGGCCUGGGGGCCUGGCCCAGGGAGGACGAAACAGACCCUGUGAAACUGACGUGUGAGGAGGGAGUGGCACGUAGUGGUUUCUUGAGAGACCUCAGUCACAGCGCCAGAAAGAGGGACUACUUGGUGAUAUGGCUGCGACUCGUUGUGGACCUUGCUGUACCCCCGGCGAGUGAGGUGACAAUGUGAGGCCACAGGAACAAGUGACCAGAAGGGCUCGGAGAAUCCAAGGCUCGUCCGGCUGCCCAGGGACUGGCUCUAGGCCUUAAUUAGCUUUUUUGUUUCUCAAAUGCACACCAGAAAAGGUGUUGGAAUUUAGUAUAAAAAGCAGAUUUUUUAAAAGUGUAAUCCUUACCAGUAUUACUAAAAUACCUUUAAUGGCCACCCAUUUUAACUUCCCACUAUGAAAGAAAGCCCUACAUUUGAGUCUUUGUGACUUCAAGUUCUUUAUGCCUUGUUUCUGAAAACUGCAAGUCCAAAGUCUGUAAAUGGAUUUGUUUGAAAAUCGGGUGUUAGAGAGCAAUGGUGAGCAGUGCUACUAGGGUAGUAAUAGGUUUGCAAUGUUCUUGUUAAGAAUUACAAUAAGUAUACCAGUGAUGUAACACCAUUCACUCAACAAUUUAGACUGUUGGUUUUUAAAGCUAUUUUUAAAAGUACUCAUUUACUUCAUAUUAAAUAAUUUUGCUUUUUUCUUGUUUCCAUUAUCUUAAAACUAUUUCGUUUCCAUCUUAAUUCUGCUUUAAAAUUUCUCUUUCUUAAAAAUUCCACAUCUAUUUUUCCUAUUCUCAUUAUGAGACUUAAGGUUAGAGGAUCCUUAUUUUUUCCCCUAAGACUAUUAUUACAAUUUAUCGUUUGUUUUUUACUUGCUAUCUAAGGUAUUUGAAGUCUCCCAAUAGAAAAAUAAUAAAAUUGUAUAAUAUAUGAGCUUCAAGUCCACUUUCUGAUAUAUUCAGAGUUUCUUAUGAUGUCUGGGAUUUUGUACAUAGGAAUAUAAAAUAGAUAAGAUAAAAUGAAAAGUGGUAUUGAAUAAGAGAUCUGGGUUUAUAACUAUAAAAUUUUUUUCAGUGUUGGGUGGGUUUAUAGAAGGAAAGAAUGGAUCCUCCCUCAGAAGCAGUUUGACUGUGGGUAAAUCAAAACGGAGUUCAAAAGGAUCAUGAAAUUAUCUUGUGCUCCACAUUUUCUGGAGUUGUUUAUUUUGUUACUGUGCCUUCCAAAAUAACAACCUGGGGUGUUUGGGGAAACAAUUGGAGGGAGCAUGUAACUUGGGUUAGAGUGUGGCUACAUGACUUUUUAAAAGAGGACAAAGGUGCAUUUUAUGUGAAUUGUUUCCAUUUCACGUGGCUGAUCAAAAGCAGGCAAUGUGAGAACGCUGGUCCCUCGGGUACAGGACCCUCCGACCGGGAGUCCGGGCCCAGCUCUGAGGUCUGAGUUUAGGUUUAGAAAAGCAGCGCAGUGACGCAGUUAGGGGCGAGGCCCUGAGGCUGGGCAGUGAGGCCUCGGAAAGUUGCUUAGUUGUUCUGGGCCUUGGGUCUUAGGACGGAUUAACAGAGCCACCCGCAGGGCUCCACGAGAGAGAGAGGCUGGUGGCCGUGCCUGGCGCAGAGUGGGCGCAGGACACACGAGCAUCGCUCUCAUCACGUCACACCCGGUUCUCCGUGUGUAGGAUUUGGCCCAAACACCCACACUCCUUGCAGGCUGUGGUUCCCCCCUGCACUGAACACUGCAUUCAGGGAGAUGUUUAGGGAGAUUUCUGGGUGCUUAUAUAUAUAUGCAUCCUGAUAUAUCUGGGGUGGGAGGAAGGACAGAACCUAAUUAUUCCUGCAUUCUUCCUCAAAAGAAUAAAAGUGUUUGACAAGUGGGUUGGCACAUAUGUAGUCAGGAAACUAUGAUUCGUAGUCACAGUCAGAACUCCAGCCUGGGUGAGCCCAUGAGAGAAAUACCUCUGGGGGUACACUCAGGAGGUGCGGGCUGAUGAAAAUGCCGGUGAUGUGUCGUGGCGAUGCCCAGUGUGUUUGUACCUUGCUAAUGAUGUUAAACCAUGAAGCCUGUGAGAUCUUGUGUUGCAGUGUGGUUUGGCCCUAGAGCCCUUGCAUGCUAACCCCAAGUAGAAGAUUAGCCCGUUUGCAUGCGGUCGGACGCUGACGAGACAAGCAUGUGCUGGGAGGUUGACCACCUCAACCCCCCGAGGCUGAACUCCUCCCCCGUCCUGUGUGUGGCCUCAUUCGCGUGACAUUAGGUUGAGAAAGCUUGUUGACGAACGGGAGUGCUUGCUGGAACAGAUUAAGAAACUCAAAGGGCAGCUGGCAGAAAGACAGAAGAAUGGCAAGCUAGACACGCUGCGCCCUGAGGACGCUGUCUUAGAGAACGGGAC